GUGUAUGUGUGCACUAUGCAAGUGUGAGCAAUAUUUUGCCAAUCUAUGGAAAUGCAUCACUUUGCAUUCAGGUUAACUGCUGAGAGACAAUGAGGUAAACAAUAAAUCAAAUAAGGUAAUUAUUUUUUUUUGCAUAGAUGUUUUAAAGGGAUGAAAAUUCUGUCAUUAAUUACUCACACUCAUGUCGUUUCAAAUCCGCAGGACCUUUGUUCAUCUUCAAAACACGUAGAUAUUUUUGAUGAAAUCUGAUCACUUUCUGACCCUGCAUAGACAGCAACGUACUCAAGGCAAGAUAUCAACAAGCUCCACAAUCUAUCAAGGGAAAUCUGUAUUUCUGCCUCUACUAGAACACAAUUUCACCCUGUUUGAGGAUUUGAGAGUAGUGGACAGAUGGAGUCGGGGGUUUGGUCUCACAAACUGUGGAGAAGUGAGCACCUAGCAACAGCAGCAUGACCGCCUGCCUAUUACAGCCCAGCGAGUUAAUGGCAGUUCCCUGAGGCGAGAGAGAAUUCCAUCUCCCUUCUCGGCUUUGCCCUCUGGACAGCAGACCUUUGGGAAUGUGAAAAAAGCUGGAUGUUGAGAGUUUCACAUCCCUAAGUCUUUGCUCAUCUGAGUGGUCUGCUCAUUGCCUGAGGCUUUCCGUCUGAUAAAGGCCUGAAUGGAUUGCUGAUUGGUGUCGUUGCACCGUGAGCUGAACCCCACUGAAGUCCAGCCCUUCUGAUGAACCAUUGAUCAAACGAGAGGAUGUGAGGAAGGGGGGAUGAGAAAGAGGAAGGCCAUCCACCAGGAGGAGGGAGAGCUUAUACAUCAGAGAUCAGGUCUGGAUUCCAGCUUUCCCUCAAUCGACCCUAUUGAGACUCAUAGCCAAUAACAGGAAGCUAAGACUGAGAACGCUUUCUUUAUGUUUGUAUGUGCUCAUCCUUAAAACAAGAUGAAUUAAAACCACAUAAGAUAUUAAGCUUAGUUUAUUUUUCUCGCCUCAUUGGCGAGUUGUUUUUUUCUUAUUUUUAGCAUAAAUUCAACACAAGUUUGUGCUGGAAAUACUGCCAGCAGGCUAUGAGGAAUACAAUCAAGAUUCUUUCAAAACAAAUAAGCCUUAUUAGCCUAUUAUUUUUCGCUUCUCAAGUCAUUUUGUCUUGAUUUAAUGAUGUUUUAAGGACAUUUUUUACUGGAAAAUAACAAAAUGCUUAAGAAAAUGAUGCUGAUGAUGGUGAUCAAUUGUGUGCACAGAGAUUAUCUCAUGAUAAUUACUGUAUAGUUGUCUCUGCAUAUUAAGUUAGAAAAAACACAAUUAACCUUUAACUGAAUGCUUAGAGACACACUGCAGUGUCUCUAACAGUUUAGU